AUUGUUGGCAAGUGUUUUUGUGAUAUGGCAGACUUAACUUACAACCUCUUCAAAGGUCUAUUUUAAGACAGCCAACCACUGAAAACGUGAAUUAAAGGCAGAAUUUGUGGCUAAAAAAAAAUUGAGGAAAGAGUGAAUUAAUUUUGUAAAAUGUAGACGAAAUAUUAUCGAGAAUUGAAAGAUUGACUACCUAGCUUAUAGUAUGUAGAAGACACUCGCCUCGCUGCAAUAACACGGAGCCAUUUAAAACACCCGAUGUUUUUUGGAUGUUAAAGAUAGGUUUAACCUGACCUGGACCAACACUGCUUCACAGAACCAAACUUUUCACCUAUGGCAUAAAACCUCUCGACUAGUAUUAGUCGAGCGGUUUUAGCUCAGGAGACCUCGGAGGUACUGAUGAGCAGAUGAGCAAGACUAGUCUUGCAAAAAAAGCAAGACGAAUAUGAAUGCAAUGACAAGACCAAGAUCUUGCUCCGCAAAACCAACACAUUUGGAAGACUUCCGAGAGUAUUCGAAGAGUGGAGGUUUGAUACAAUAAAAUCCAUCAGAUCGCAUAGACAGCAGUAAAUUAGCGUCUUUUUUCAAUAACUGUCAAAUUGGAGGAAAACGUUUUGCUGAAAAACGAAAAUCGAUCAUGCAAUCGACACCAAUCACCAUUGGAACCAAUCACAUUCUGUAAAUUCUAUAAAUGUGAUUGGUUCCAGAUAAAUCGGGGGUUAGUUGACGCAAAUAGUUGAUCUAAUAUUUAUUAACUGUUAACUUGAAAUUGUGGAAUCAGUUAAUAAAGGAAUAUAUGUUUUUUAUGCAGUAGCAAAUCAAAA